UGCAACAUGGCAUCGGCUGCUUCAGGUUUCUUGCUAACACCCAAUGUUUCUGCAGGGACUUCUAAGACCACCAACAACAACAACAUGGUGUUUUUCCCAUCCAAGACCAACAACACUUCAAGGCUUGUUGUGAGGGCAGCUGAUGAGGCUUCACCACCACCACCCUCUCCAACCCCAGCAACCACCACUGCACCACCUGAAGGGGGUGAAGCCCCUAAGCCUAAGCCACCACCAAUAGGACCAAAAAGAGGCACCAAGGUUAGCUCCCUUACAUGUAGAAUAUAUCUGCAGAGAUGAUGUAGGGAAAAUAAGUAAACAUAAAUCACUCUCUGUCAAGCUUUGAUCAUUAAACAGGGAAUCAAAAUUGUUACUAUGAACAACAAGUUUGAUGAAAUGAUGUUCGAUAUGAUAGGUGAAGAUUCUUAGGAGGGAGUCCUACUGGUACAACAGCUAUGGAUCAGUUGUUACAGUUGACCAG
rnacentral:lncRNA from 1 species